AGGAACCGGGUCAGUAUCUUAGAGAAGAAAUGAUCAUCUGGAUUACCUAGAAUGAACUAUGAGAACUGAUGGUUGGAUCUGUUGUAACCAUUCAGGAGGGUAAACAUUCUGAUGAAGGAGUGAACAUUCAGCAAUUCGUGAUGAUGUCCUUUCACAUGCUUCUCCUAUGUACCUCUGCAAAUCUGAAUAAAUGUGGGGAAAGAGGCAAGAAGGCAAGGCCAUCAGAAGAAUCUAAAGUGGUCUUUCAGGGUGAGUCUAAACAGAGAAGAGAAGAAGAGAAGAGAAGAGAAGAGAAGAGAAGAGAAGAGAAGAGAAGAGAAGAGAAGAGAAGAGAAGAGAAGAGAAGAGAAAAGAAGAGAAAAGAAGAAGAGAAGAAGAAUCUCUGUGGAAAUAUUUGCAAAGUCAUAGCAAAGGAUAAUUGAAUUACACCUAUUGACAUGGGAAUAAAAGUUUUAAAUUA
ensembl:lincRNA 1700010I02Rik RIKEN cDNA 1700010I02 gene